rnacentral:rRNA from 1 species
AGAGUUUGAUCCUGGCUCAGGACGAACGCUGGCGGCGCGCCUAACACAUGCAAGUCGAACGAGAGAGAGGGAGCUUGCUUCCUCGAUCGAGUGGCGAACGGGUGAGUAACGCGUGAGGAACCUGCCUCAAAGAGGGGGACAACAGUUGGAAACGACUGCUAAUACCGCAUAAGCCCACGGCUCGGCAUCGAGCAGAGGGAAAAGGAGCAAUCCGCUUUGAGAUGGCCUCGCGUCCGAUUAGCUAGUUGGUGAGGUAACGGCCCACCAAGGCGACGAUCGGUAGCCGGACUGAGAGGUUGAACGGCCACAUUGGGACUGAGACACGGCCCAGACUCCUACGGGAGGCAGCAGUGGGGAAUAUUGCACAAUGGGGGAAACCCUGAUGCAGCGACGCCGCGUGGAGGAAGAAGGUCUUCGGAUUGUAAACUCCUGUUGUUGAGGAAGAUAAUGACGGUACUCAACAAGGAAGUGACGGCUAACUACGUGCCAGCAGCCGCGGUAAAACGUAGGUCACAAGCGUUGUCCGGAAUUACUGGGUGUAAAGGGAGCGCAGGCGGGAAGACAAGUUGGAAGUGAAAUCUAUGGGCUCAACCCAUGAACUGCUUUCAAAACUGUUUUUCUUGAGUAGUGCAGAGGUAGGCGGAAUUCCCGGUGUAGCGGUGGAAUGCGUAGAUAUCGGGAGGAACACCAGUGGCGAAGGCGGCCUACUGGGCACCAACUGACGCUGAGGCUCGAAAGUGUGGGUAGCAAACAGGAUUAGAUACCCUGGUAGUCCACACCGUAAACGAUGAUUACUAGGUGUUGGAGGAUUGACCCCUUCAGUGCCGCAGUUAACACAAUAAGUAAUCCACCUGGGGAGUACGACCGCAAGGUUGAAACUCAAAGGAAUUGACGGGGGCCCGCACAAGCAGUGGAGUAU